rnacentral:rRNA from 1 species
AGAGUUUGAUCAUGGCUCAGGACGAACGCUGGCGGCGUGCUUAACACAUGCAAGUGGAGCGACGAACCGGGCUUCGGCCCGGGGCAAAGCCGCGAACGGGUGAGUAUCACGUGGGUAACCUGCCCCGAUGACCGGGACAACCCGAGGAAACUCGGGCUAAUACCGGAUGUGCCCUCAAUCAACCAGGGUUGAGAACAAAGGAAGCUUCGGCCUCCGCAUCGGGAUGGGCCCGCGGCCCAUUAGCUUGUUGGUGAGGUAAAGGCUCACCAAGGCGACGAUGGGUAGCUGGUCUGAGAGGACGAUCAGCCACACUGGGACUGAGACACGGCCCAGACUCCUACGGGAGGCAGCAGUGGGGAAUCUUGCGCAAUGCGCGAAAGCGUGACGCAGCAACGCCGCGUGAGGGAAGAAGGCCUUCGGGUUGUAAACCUCUUUCAGGAGGGACGAAGGUUCAGGCGCGAACAGUGACCUGGACUGACGGUACCUCCAGAAGAAGCCCCGGCUAACUACGUGCCAGCAGCCGCGGUAAUACGUAGGGGCUAGCGUUGUCCGGAAUCAUUGGCGUAAAGCGCGCGUAGGCGGCCCGGUAAGUCCGCUGUAAAAGUCAAAGGCUCAACCUUUGAAUGUCAGUGGAUACUGCCGGGCUAGAGUCCGGAAGAGGCGAGUGGAAUUCCUGGUGUAGCGGUGGAAAUGCGCAGAUAUCAGGAGGAACACCGACGGCGAAGCAGCUCGCUGGGACGGUACUGACGCUGAGGCGGCGAAAGCGUGGGGGAGGCGAACAGGAUUAGAUACCUGGUAGUCCACGCCGUA